rnacentral:lncRNA from 1 species
UGUGAUAUCAGUUGUACGUUGAGAUGCAAUAUUAUGGUUGCCGGCCACAGGAGGAAACACGAUAUGUACGUUUGACCUGCCAUAAGCUGGAGCGUGGGCAGGACUACUUUAGUAUUGGAAUGAUAAUGUUGUUAGGAUCUGAUCUAUGUUAACUAGUUAAUAAGUAAUCUCAUUGAAUUGUUACUGAAUAGGAUUGUUGAUUGGAUGAUAUAUGAUGUGUAUAAUAGAACUAUUUUGAUAUAUGACAUGCAUCUUGAGAUUUCUA